rnacentral:rRNA from 1 species
AUUGAACGCUGGCGGCAUGCUUUACACAUGCAAGUCGAACGGCAGCGCGGGCUUCGGCCUGGCGGCGAGUGGCGAACGGGUGAGUAAUGCAUCGGAACGUGCCCAGUAGUGGGGGAUAGCCCGGCGAAAGCCGGAUUAAUACCGCAUACGACCUGAGGGUGAAAGCGGGGGACCGAAAGGCCUCGCGCUCUUGGAGCCGCCGAUGUCGGAUUAGCCCGUUGGUGGGGUAAAGGCUUACCAAGGCGACGAUCCGUAGCUGGUCUGAGAGGACGACCAGCCACACUGGGACUGAGACACGGCCCAGACUCCUACGGGAGGCAGCAGUGGGGAAUUUUGGACAAAGGGGGCAACCCUGAUCCAGCCAUGCCGCGUGCGGGAAGAAGGCCUUCGGGUUGUAAACCGCUUUUGUUCGGGAAGAAAUCCUCUGGGCUAAUACCCCGGGGGGAUGACGGUACCGGAAGAAUAAGCACCGGCUAACUACGUG